rnacentral:lncRNA from 1 species
UAGGGAUUGUAAUAGAUCAACGAUGAAUGCAAAUUUGGGACCAGGACACAUCCUUAUGUAAUGGAGAUUUUAGGUAGCUCACAAAGAUUCCAAUACCACCAUCAAAACCUAAAUCACAUUAUUAAAAGAACUAAAAAAUGGAAACAAAAAAAUCACUCUCACUAUUAAAAAAAACAAACACCCACAAUUGAUCACAACAUCCACAAAUGAAUAAAACUACGAACACCCACCAUCCAACAAAAAACUACGAACAUCCAAAGUCCAUCAAGGAACCAC